AGAUGACGGUAUGGAGAUGGUGGUGAAUACACCAACUCAGAAGAUGACGGUGUGGAGAUGGUGGUGAAUACACCAACUCAGAAGAUGACGGUAUGGAGAAGGGUGGUGAAUACACCAACUCAAUUGCACCAGCUAGUGUUUUUGACUUGUGAUGGCUAGUAUGAGUGUCUUGGCCCAAGCCAUUAUACAUGAUCAUGUAGUUGUUUAAGGAGGGUACUAUAAUCAACAUGACCACUUUACACACUAACCAACCACUUGCCACAUUGCAGCCUAUAAUACUUACUGACCAGAAAACACCCCAUGUUACUUAGAGACCUGUCUUUCUGUUUCUGAACACCUCUCUGUUUACAGUGCCAAAUGAUGGGUAUUAGCGCAAAACGCUUUCAUAGUGAUGUUUCUGCUUCUUGUAAAGGAGUUUGAACCAAAUCUAGAGCAAUAUGGUCUGUGUUAUGUUUCCCUGUGGAGGCAGAGCUAAUACAUUAGUCUUCUGUUUUUAUCUCUUGCUUUUGACCUUCUGUUAAACCAAACGCUUCUGAAUGUCAUCUGAAAACAUGUUCCUGAUAGCUGUGUGUCAGUAGUGUGUCACUGAUAGUGAGAAUGUACCAAUUAACUACAAUAACUUGUCUCUUACGGGAAGCCACACAUGCAACAAUUGCACACAUGCACAUAUAUAUAUAUAUAUAUAUAUAUACACACACACACACACACACACACACACACACACACACACACACACACACAGAAUACAAUAUAGGCAUACAGGCGUAAGCUCAAGCACAAAAGGGCACACGUGAGAUGAUGACACAUGCAUGUAGACACAACAACAUAUCUCCAUGGAGACCGAGUGAAGCCCACCCUGUGAAUAAAAAAAGAAUACCAGUGCAUGAAAGGAUUAUGACGUUAACGUGCCAGCACGUGUCUCUUUGUAGUUAGCACUUAUGGGAUUUUAGUCCCCCUUUUUCUGUUUCUUUUUAUUUGGAUACCUAUGUAAUGAUAAUGACAUUUUAUUUUUCAAAAGGCUUGUGAAUACAUUAAAUAUUUCAACAAUAUGAAUGUACACGAAAUUGGCAUGAGAUUAUUUUCUACUGAGGAUGUUUCUAUUUUUUUUCUUAUCAUUAUUGAUUGUUCUUUAGGAUGAAGGGGGGUUGGAAUGCAGCCUGGUUGUGAUCUGCUUCCUAUUAAAAGGACAUUUGUGUCACAAA
ensembl:lncRNA